GACAGAGGUGCCAAGCGUUAGGCGGAAUCACUGGGCUUAAAGCGUGUGUAGGCGGGUCGUUAAGUGUCUUGUGAAUCCCCGGCUCAACCGGGGAAUGGCUGGGCAUACUGGCGAUCUUGAGCAGUCUAGGGGCAGAUGGAACAGACGGUGGAGCGGUGAAAUGCGUAGAUAUCGUCUGGAACGCCAAAGGUGAAAACAGUCUGCUGGGGACUUGCUGACGCUGAGACACGAAGGCCAGGGAGCGAACGGG
rnacentral:rRNA from 1 species